rnacentral:rRNA from 1 species
GACGAACGCUGGCGGCGUGCUUAACACAUGCAAGUCGAGCGAUGAAGUUUCUUCGGAAAUGGAUUAGCGGCGAACGGGUGAGGAACACGUGAAGAAUCUGCCCUCCACUUUGGGAUAACACAGGGAAACCUGUGCUAAUACCGAAUAUUGAAACAUAAGUGGCAUCACUGAGUUUUGAAAGAAUUUCGGUGGAGGAUGACUUCGCGGCCUAUCAGCUAGUUGGUGAGGUAAUGGCUCACCAAGGCAACGACGGGUAGCCGGCCUGAGAGGGCGGCCGGCCACACGGGGACUGAGACACGGCCCAGACUCCUACGGGAGGCAGCAGUGGGGAAUAUUGGGCAAUGGAGGAAACUCUGACCCAGCGACGCCGCGUGCGGGAUGAAGGCCUUCGGGUUGUAAACCGCUUUCAGUAGGGAAGAAGCGAAAGUGACGGUACCUACAAAAGAAGCACCGGCUAACUAUGUGCCAGCAGCCGCAGUAA